rnacentral:tRNA from 1 species
GCGCCUGUAGCUCAGUUGGUAGAGCAACGGACUUUUAAUCCGUGGGUCCAGGGUUCGAUCCCCUGCGGGCGUACAA